GUGAGGAAUUUUCCGCAAUGGGCGAAAGCCUGACGGAACAAUGCCGCGUGAAGGAUGAAGGCCUAUGGGUUGUAAACUUCUUUUCUCAGAAAAGAAUUAUGACGGUAUCUGAGGAAUAAGCAUCGGCUAACUCUGUGCCAGCAGCCGCGGUAAGACAGAGGAUGCAAGCGUUAUCCGGAAUGAUUGGGCGUAAAGCGUCUGUAGGUUGUUUAAAAAGUAUUCUGUCAAAGAUUAGGGCUUAACCCUAGAUAGGCAGAAUAAACUUUUAAGCUAGAGUUUGGUAGAGGCAGAGGGAAUUCCCGGUGGAGCGGUGAAAUGCGUAGAUAUCGGGAGGAACACCAAAGGCGAAGGCACUCUGCUGGGCCAAUACUAACACUGAGAGACGAAAGCGAGGGGAGCAAAUGGGAUUAGAUACCCGGGUAGUCC
rnacentral:rRNA from 1 species